GCAGCCAGUCUGAGAUCUCGUCUUUUCUCUCACCACGCGUGUGCGAUCAAGCGCGCCAGUGCUAAAGGCUAGCGAGCGAAAUCGCGGGGAGAGGACAUUUUUCAGUCUUUUAAAGACUUAAUUGACAAAACCCAGCUCCCAGUGUGCAAAUUGAUAUCAGUCAAUGGUUGAGCAGCACAAAUGGAUUCAUUGCCAAGUGCAGGGAAGACAACGUGUUCCCUGACUUCCUUAACUACCACUGCAUAAUACACCAACAAGCCUUAUGUGCAAGAAUGCUAAACGUGAAAGAGAUCAUGGAUGUGGCAACAAAGAUCGCCUGUUCUAUACGUGCUAGUUCACUUCAAAGACGGCUGUUCCGUGCACAUCUGGAGAAGGCAGACUGCGACCAAUCAGCUCCUGCUACACACUGACGUCAGAUGGCUUAGUAGGGGUAAAUUCCUGCAGAGAUUUCGAGAGCUCUGUCUGGAGAUAAGCAAGUUUCUUUUUGCUGUUAAACAUGCAGAAUACACCCAGGUCAAUGAUGAUCAGUGGCUGCUGGACUUUUUUUAACCGAGCAUUUUUAACCGAUCUGACCAACUUAAUUUGGAGCUGCAAGGAAAAGACAAAAAUUAACGGCAGUCAGUGCCUUUAAACGGAAAAUGCAACUUCUGUUUUCAAAGCUGCAGCGCCAUGUUUUUGGGAACUUCCAAAACCUCGCGUCAGAUCUGGAGACGCAGCGGAAGGCUUGUGCGCAGUUUAACAUUGCACGCUACACGGAGCAGAUUGACAGCUGUCGGUCAGAGUUUGACAGACGCUUCAAGACUUUGCUUUACUGGAGCCAUUUGCCACAUUCAUGUGCUACCCGUUUAGGGACAAUGUUGAGGUUGAUUCACUCGCAUCGAAAAUUGCAGCGCUGUUCACCUGAACUCGUCUGAAGUGGAGGAUGAGAUUUUGAAACUACAGACUGACAUUCAGCUGAAGUCCAGGGCUCAUGGACAGUUCUGGAACUUACUCACAGGGGAAAAUUACCCAAACAUGAGGAAAUGUGCCACCUCCUAACUGCAUUAUUUGGCUCUACUUAUUUAUGUGAGUCAGCCUUUUCCCUCAUGAAGAUCAUUAAGUCCAAAUACCGUUCCACAAUGACUGAUCAUCAUUUGGAGGCCUGCUUGAGGCUGGCUACCAGCAGCUACUGUCCGGACUAUGCAGCCCUGGCUGAUUCUAUUCAGUGCACGUCAUCAGAGUAAGGUGGCGAUUGCAGGCGCAUUUUAUCCGAACUGCUUCCUCCAGGGAACUGUGGACGAGGAGCUCGCCUCCAAGGAGCUCUAUGGAAACGACCCCAGGACCACCGUAGUGGUGUGUAAUCUCCCUCCAUUUGCAUUCCUCUACCAUAAACAGCUCCAGUCUCUCUUCAGACACUGUGGUUAAGUCAAAUCCAUCUCCUUUGACAGCUCCAGGGCCUAUGUAGAGUUCUACCGCUCGUCAAUGAGAGGUUCUGGCGUUCUCCCAGAGGUCUCUCUGUCUCUCCUCCUCGCUCAGCAGAGACUUCCUCUCCAUCUCAACGUUUAACCCGCUGGAGAGGUGGAGACUUGGGCAGGGGGGUAGUGUAUCUCACACUUCAGAUAUACACGGUUGAAUGUGGAUAUUCAGAAUCAGUCAGUGAGCCCUGUCGGGGUUCUGAGCAGCUCCAUUGAGCUGGAGAAUCUUCCGUCUAACCCUGUCUUUAUCGUCAAUAUCACCGAGUGGGGCAUUUCUGGGGUUUCCAGGCUCACGAGGCAAGUCUGGAGAAACAGAGGUGGCUGACAGUGGCCGUUAAUACACGGGCGCUCUGCCCACUUCCUGUCUCACUUUAUCCAAAUCUUCUGUGUCUCGCCCCUUUCUCUGAAACUCACACCAAACCUGGGAACUACUACAGAGCCAAAAUACUGCAUGUCAUGGGGAGUAAUGUGGAGGUAACAUCUGUACACGCACACGCACACGCAC